GACGCCGCCGUGCGGCCAGGGCACAUCCGCUCGCCAGAUGUGUCGCCCGCUCGUCCACGACUCGCCGGAGAUCGAGCUGCUCGGCACCCCCAAGGUCCAUCCCGGCGACCACGGCAAUCUGUUCAAAGGAAACGACGAAGCUCCGCGAUGGCCAUGGCCGGCAGGAGGAGCAGAUCCAUCAGAAGCUUGCUGUGGCGCAAGACUGGCGGCAGGAAGGCAUCAAGGACGAGCAACUGGCUGCCUUUUGCGAGAUGCUGCUGUUGGUCUCCAUGGCAAGCCGCCACCGGCAACCUUCCUGACACCUCUGUGAGAUGCCGCUGCCGGCCACCAUUCUGUUUGCAGCGAGCUUGGCAUGCCUGAUGAGAUAUGGUAUGUUGCCUGUUGCUCGUUCGCCACGCUCUCGCUCCCUGCUGUUGCUGGCUGAGCGGGCCAAGGGCAGGGAGGGACCGAGCUACAUCCAUAUUCCCGGUGGCCAGUCAGGACGAGCAACGUUGCGAUGGCCGUGUUAGGAGGAAGGAGCGGGGCCAUCAGAAGCUCGGUGUGGUGCAAGACUGGUGGCAGGGAGGUGUGGAGAAGAGCUGGUGGUUGCCUUUGCGAGGUGCUGCUACUGGGCUCCAUGGGGAGCCGCCGCCGGCAAUCUCCUGUUCCCAGCCACCAUUCCGUGUCGUAGCAGGACGCCACCCCAACAAGCUUCUCCCGGAUAUAUCCAGGAGGAGGGCUAGAUGGCAGCAAGAAACCUGCAGCCUGAUGCAUCAUCGAUCAGGGUGUAAGCUGGAAGGGCCAAGGGAGAAGUAACCGUCUUAUACAUGCCUUGCUCUGUGCAUCAGCGUUUUUUUUUUGUUACUCUGGUUGUAAUGCAGCGCUAGUGAGGUUUCAGAUUCUGAAGAAUCUUGUAUUGCAUCAUGUCGGUGUUGUAUGUAACCCUCCUACGAUGUGAUUGCGGAAAGGUGUGCUGCUGUGCAUCAGCUAUUCUUUGAUGCUGAUUGCUGGGCAGUUUUCCGGUGGAUUAGAGUUGUGGUGGAGUUUGUAUGUCUCGUGGGCUACUUAUUGCCUUGAACGGAAGUAUGCUAUUUGCUGUUCUGGUUUGGAUGUCCAAAUACAAGGCAAGGUCGUGCCAAAAAUUUAAGUGACCCCUGCCAUUUUCUUCA